CCUACGGGAGGCAGCAGUGGGGAAUUUUGGACAAUGGGGGCAACCCUGAUCCAGCCAUGCCGCGUGCGGGAAGAAGGCCUUCGGGUUGUAAACCGCUUUUGUCAGGGAAGAAAUCCUUUGAACUAAUACUUCGGAGGGAUGACGGUACCUGAAGAAUAAGCACCGGCUAACUACGUGCCAGCAGCCGCGGUAAUACGUAGGGUGCAAGCGUUAAUCGGAAUUACUGGGCGUAAAGCGUGCGCAGGCGGUUAUGCAAGACAGAUGUGAAAUCCCCGGGCUCAACCUGGGAACUGCAUUUGUGACUGCAUAGCUAGAGUACGGUAGAGGGGGGAUGGAAUUCCACGUGUAGCAGUGAAAUGCGUAGAUAUGUGGAGGAACACCGAUGGCGAAGGCAAUCCCCUGGACCUGUACUGACGCUCAUGCACGAAAGCGUGGGGAGCAAACAGGAUUAGAUACCCUGGUAGUCCACGCCCUAAACGAUGUCAACUGGUUGUUGGGAGGGUUUCUUCUCAGUAACGUAGCUAACGCGUGAAGUUGACCGCCUGGGGAGUACGGCCGCAAGGUUGAAACUCAAAUGAAAUUGACCGG
rnacentral:rRNA from 1 species